rnacentral:rRNA from 1 species
AACGAACGCUGGCGGCAGGCCUAACACAUGCAAGUCGAGCGAGCAUUUCGGUGCUAGCGGCGGACGGGUGAGUAACGCGUGGGAACGUGCCCUUGUCUGCGGCAUAGUUCUGGGAAACUGGGGGUAAUACCGCAUACGCGCUUUUGGGGAAAGAUUUAUCGAAGAAGGUUCGGCCGGCGUUGGAUUAGGUAGUUCGUGGGGUAAUGGCCGACCACGCCGACGAUUCAUAGCUGGGUAGAGAGGAUGAUCAGCCACACUGGGACUGAGACACGGCCUAGACUCCUACGGGAGGCAGCAGUGGGGAAUCUUAGACAAUGGGGGCAACCCUGAUCUAGCCAUGCCGCGUGAGUGAUGAAGGCCUUAGGGUUGUAAAGCUCAUUCAGCUGGGAAGAUAAUGACGGUACCAGCAGAAGAAGCCCCGGCUAACUCCGUG